CAGGGUCACUUAUUUAGUUUAAGUUGUUUGUGCAUUUUAUAAUGCAAUCAACUUUUACCAAGGUACCAAUCUAAUAAACAUCACCUUGCAUUGGUACCCAUGUUUCACAUAUAUAAAGGAAUGUAAUAAGACAUGCUUUACAAAUAUUUUUGGGUGCUCUAUGACAGCCAGCCACCUAGUAAUUCUGUGCUAUCUGCGCAUUGCCUA
rnacentral:lncRNA from 1 species